UACGUAGGGGGCAAGCGUUAUCCGGAUUUACUGGGUGUAAAGGGAGCGCAGACGGCAGUGCAAGUCUGGAGUGAAAGCCCGGGGCCCAACCCCGGGACUGCUCUGGAAACUGUACGGCUAGAGUACGGGAGGGGCAGGCGGAAUUCCUAGUGUAGCGGUGAAAUGCGUAGAUAUAUGGAGGAACACCGGUGGCGAAAGCGGCUCUCUGGUCUGUAACUGACGCUGAGGUUCGAAAGCGUGGGUAGCAAACAGG
rnacentral:rRNA from 1 species